GGAUUAGAUACCCUGGUAGUCCACGCCGUAAACGAUGAUCACUAGAUGUUCGGACUUCGGUCUGAGUGUCCAAGCGAAAGCGAUAAGUGAUCCACCUGGGGAGUACGUUCGCAAGAAUGAAACUCAAAGGAAUUGACGGGGGCCCGCACAAGCGGUGGAGCAUGUGGUUUAAUUCGAUGAUACGCGAGGAACCUUACCUGGGCUACAAUGCCUCUGACAGACGCCGAAAGGUGUUUUUCCUUCGGGACAGAGUGCAAGGUGCUGCAUGGUUGUCGUUAGCUCGUGUUG
rnacentral:rRNA from 1 species